rnacentral:rRNA from 1 species
UACGUAGGGGGCUAGCGUUGUCCGGAAUCAUUGGGCGUAAAGCGCGCGUAGGCGGCCCUGUUAGUCCGCUGUAAAAGUCAAAGGCUCAACCUUUGAAUGCCGGUGGAUACUGCAGGGCUAGAGUCCGGAAGAGGCGAGUGGAAUUCCUGGUGUAGCGGUGGAAUGCGCAGAUAUCUGGAGGAACACCGGUGGCGAAGGCGGCAUCCUGGGACCGGCAUUGACGCUGAGGCGCGGAAAGCCAGGGGAGCAAAGCGGG